GCGUAGAUCGUUCUGGAGUUCGACAGCGAUAUGCCUAUAUAUAAAGGACCCCUUGAUUCUCGGCCCUUCAGUUGCAAACCGAGUGGCAUAGAAGUAUCAUCGUCAGCCUCAAACCUCCUCCGUCUUUUCGGGUUAAGAAGAACCGCUUCGGCUGCAUCAUGAAGACCCUCUGGUUGCCGUGGUUGACCGUCGCCAUCGUUGUCGUGGGCGGCGCGGUUGCCGCCAAGAACCAGGAACUGGCAGCGGGAGGAGAUCCCGGGAACCUCAUCGUAGGAAUGGUGAUGGGAAUGAUCGACUACGUCAAGGAAACGAAGACCUGCAUCAACCCGAACCCUCUGGCCGCGGAAAUGUUUGGUAUGAUCUGUGACACGCCGGGGUGCGAUACGAACGGCAAGCACUGCAUGGAAGCCAUCAUGCCAUUCGACUUCCUCUGCGAAUACAGCAAGAAAUGUAUCCUCGGUGAUGAUGGUAUCCAGAAAUUCAACCCCAGAGUGAAUCCCAUUGCGAUGAUUGGGCGAUGCGUCACGAAGAACGUCGUACGGGACAUGAAUAUGGAAUAUGUUGAAGGUGACAACCAAGAGAAUAUAUUUUCCUUGUUCGAGAAGAUCAUGGCCAGCACAACUAACCACAUCCCUGAGUCUACCAAACAAGAGCUCCUGUCAGCUGUUCUCAAUGACGUGUGUUUAGCUCCCGGAGAUGAUUACAAUGUGAGAGAUGUGAUGAGAUUCCAGUCUUGCCUUAUGAAGAAAUGUGUCAAGUCACUUGCUACCAACUGAUAUUACUUUGGAACUGCAGUUUAUAAGUUUGUCUAUCAACUUUUAACAUUUCCUUUCACUUCAGUACAUACACUUUAAAAAGAAUGUGGGACCAAUGCCAGUGUUUUCAAGAAUACUUAUGUUUCAGAUUCCUAAUAGGACAGACUGAUAAGCAGUUGUAAGACUCUCCUUAAAUAAUGACACUUUGUAUUAGCACGACAAGAGGUAUGUGUAUUAGUAAUACAAGAGGUUUGUUCUUGGUAUGAAUGCAUACAGGAUGUUAAUUUUUACUUCAUAACUAUGUACUGCCCUACUAACUAUUCCAAAAACCACACAGGAGGUUAUUGCUAUCUGUUCACCUUCACAAUACACUAUUGGCAUUACUUAAGGGUGUUCACAGCAUCCCCUAGCUGCAUCAUUCUUUCAGCCUUUUACUUUACAUUCUUUUUUGCUUCCUUUCAUCCAUUCUGCUGUCCAGCCUCUAUUACUUCUUAGUGCAGAUGUGGUGUUCUCCAAGUUUCACCUUUAAAUCACUGUAAUUCAUCUGUUAUUUAUUGGAUCUCUCUAUAUAGCUGUCCAACUAUUCCAACUCCCUCUUCCUUGUCUAAAGCACUGAAUGGCUGAAAUGACUCAAAAGGUCAUCAUUCAUUCAGUCAUACACUACACAGCACACUCAACAUAGACGUUAGGCUGCUGUGUUCAGUUAUAACUCCAUCUCUCAGCUCAUCACAGUGAGCCACGUAAAGUAAAAUUCUUUGCAUUUAAGGAAGAAAAAUACCUUUUCAUUAGUUUUGGUGCAUCCGCUGGGAAGUAAAUUUACUUUUAUGUAAAAUUUUAUUCAGUAUAUUAUUCAAAAAUACUGUACAAAGCUUCCAUAAAGUAUAACAAUCUAUAUAAGUGUAUAACAAUGUAUAGUAUAUUGUAGCAUUCCAAGUAACAUUAAGGCCAUUUUUUCUUUUAGCAGUCUUUCUCCAAAUGUUAUUUAUUACAAACUAACUAUUACACUAUGCAUGAGUAUUGCUAGAUUGCACCCUAAAAAAUUUAAAUUUAACAAUUAGAACUAUUAAUAGUUAUGGGUAAAUGAGCAUUAAGUGAACUUCAGCAAUCUAUAUUUGACAUUACGUAUAUAUUUACUGUAUUAUUUUUUUAUUUUAUUCUGUAAGGCUCAGAUAUUUGUGAGAUGCACCUAAAAUAUAUUGGAUUUGUGAAAUUACCUACUAAUGAUGUUGACCACUGUUAUACAAAAGUUCUAUAAAUUUCUGAGAAGAGUAGUUGACACAGACUGAAUAAUGUGUAUGCUAAAAUUAUUCAAACUGACAUUUGUUGCAGCAUUUAAAAAAAUACUGAAUCAUCCACAGUAACACAGAUUUCCACAACAGUGCUCCAAAAAUGAAGAAAACUUAAUUUAAAGAAAAUAGCAUAUGAAAACUUGAUGUAAAUACUCAUGCAUGCUGUUAGUUACUUAAUUGCAAAUCUCAAUCUCGCAUAACUGGAAUGGCAGUUGUCACCGAAUGCUUAUAAAAAAAAAUAUGGUACACAGCACACAUUGUGUCCCAUAUUGUCUGAAGGAAGUGAAUAGGCACCACAGAGGCUCACCACCAAUACCAAUAAUACAUCUUGAAGUCCAUUUUUAUUUUCCUGUUAGUUCCUGACUUGUAUAGCCAUUGACAUGAGUAUGAUCACACAGCUUUUCCAAUCUGUUCAGCAACAAAGCCGCAAGUUCCCACGGAUCAGGCUGGUAAAUAGGAAAGCAUUCACUUCAAUAAUUUACCAAACAAAUGCAUUUAUUUUCAUAUAGUAAGAUAGAAAUUAUAUUAAUAUAGUGUAAAAA